CAGCGUACUCUCGGGAGUGACGGGGUACACUGUGGGGACCGCCGCUGCUAAAGCGGAGGAAGGAAUGGGCAACGGUAGGUCAGUAUGCCCCGAAUAUCCCGGGCUACACGCGAGCUACAAUGGUUGGUACAAUGGGUAUCUACCCCGAAAGGGGACGGGAAUCUCCUAAAACCAAUCUUAGUUCGGAUUGAGGGCUGCAACUCGCCCUCAUGAAGCUGGAAUCCGUAGUAAUCGCGUUUCAACAGAACGCGGUGAAUACGUCCCUGCUCCUU
rnacentral:rRNA from 1 species